rnacentral:rRNA from 1 species
UACGUAGGGGGCAAGCGUUGUCCGGAAUCAUUGGGCGUAAAGAGCGCGUAGGCGGCCCUGUAAGUCCGUUGUGAAAGUCAAAGGCUCAACCUUUGAAAGCCGAUGGAUACUGCAGGGCUAGAGUCCGGAAGAGGCGAGUGGAAUUCCUGGUGUAGCGGUGGAAUGCGCAGAUAUCAGGAGGAACACCAAUAGCGAAGGCAGCUCGCUGGGACGGUACUGACGCUAAGGCGCGAAAGCGUGGGGAGCGAACAGG